GUAUUUUGACCGUGCAAAGGUAGCGCAAUCACUUGUCUUUUAAAUGAAGACCUGUAUGAAUGGUGGAACGAGGGCUUAACUGUCUCCCCCUUCUAGUCAAUGAAAUUGAUCUACCCGUGCAGAAGCGGGUAUAACAAUACAAGACGAGAAGACCCUUUGGAGCUUAAGAUAAAAAACCAACUAUGUCAAAAGUCCUAAAAAAGACUAAACCAAAUAGUACUGGUCCCAAUCUUCGGUUGGGGCGACCACGGGAGAAAACAAAGCUCCCAUGCGGAUUGGGGUAAUUCCCUAAAACUAAGAGAGACAUCUCUAAGACGCAGAACAUCUGACCAUAAAGAUCCGGCUACAUGCCGACCAACGGACCAAGUUACCCUAGGGAUAACAGCGCAAUCCCCUUCCAGAGUCCAUAUCGACAAGGGGGUUUACGACCUCGAUGUUGGAUCAGGACAUCCU
rnacentral:rRNA from 1 species